UGGGAAGUAUUGCACAAUGGGCGCAAGCCUGAUGCAGCCAUGCCGCGUGUAUGAAGAAGGCCUUCGGGUUGUAAAGUACUUUCAGCGAGGAGGAAGGUGUUGAGGUUAAUAACCUUAGCAAUUGACGUUACUCGCAGAAGAAGCACCGGCUAACUCCGUGCCAGAGCCGCGGUAAUACGGAGGGUGCAAGCGUUAAUCGGAAUUACUGGGCGUAAAGCGCACGCAGGCGGUCUGUCAAGUCGGAUGUGAAAUCCCCGGGCUCAACCUGGGAACUGCAUCCGAAACUGGCAGGCUAGAGUCUUGUAGA
rnacentral:rRNA from 1 species